AGAGUUUGAUCAUGGCUCAGAUUGAACGCUGGCGGCAGGCCUAACACAUGCAAGUCGAGCGGAUGAAGGGAGCUUGCUCCUGGAUUCAGCGGCGGACGGGUGAGUAAUGCCUAGGAAUCUGCCUGGUAGUGGGGGAUAACGUCCGGAAACGGGCGCUAAUACCGCAUACGUCCUGAGGGAGAAAGUGGGGGAUCUUCGGACCUCACGCUAUCAGAUGAGCCUAGGUCGGAUUAGCUAGUUGGUGGGGUAAAGGCCUACCAAGGCGACGAUCCGUAACUGGUCUGAGAGGAUGAUCAGUCACACUGGAACUGAGACACGGUCCAGACUCCUACGGGAGGCAGCAGUGGGGAAUAUUGGACAAUGGGCGAAAGCCUGAUCCAGCCAUGCCGCGUGUGUGAAGAAGGUCUUCGGAUUGUAAAGCACUUUAAGUUGGGAGGAAGGGCAGUAAGUUAAUACCUUGCUGUUUUGACGUUACCAACAGAAUAAGCACCGGCUAACUUCGUGCCAGCAGCCGCGGUAAUACGAAGGGUGCAAGCGUUAAUCGGAAUUACUGGGCGUAAAGCGCGCGUAGGUGGUUCAGCAAGUUGGAUGUGAAAUCCCCGGGCUCAACCUGGGAACUGCAUCCAAAACUACUGAGCUAGAGUACGGUAGAGGGUGGUGGAAUUUCCUGUGUAGCGGUGAAAUGCGUAGAUAUAGGAAGGAACACCAGUGGCGAAGGCGACCACCUGGACUGAUACUGACACUGAGGUGCGAAAGCGUGGGGAGCAGACAGGAUUAGAUACCCUGGUAGUCCACGCCGUAAACGAUGUCGACUAGCCGUUGGGAUCCUUGAGAUCUUAGUGGCGCAGCUAACGCGAUAAGUCGACCGCCUGGGGAGUACGGCCGCAAGGUUAAAACUCAAAUGAAUUGACGGGGGCCCGCACAAGCGGUGGAGCAUGUGGUUUAAUUCGAAGCAACGCGAAGAACCUUACCUGGCCUUGACAUGCUGAGAACUUUCCAGAGAUGGAUUGGUGCCUUCGGGAACUCAGACACAGGUGCUGCAUGGCUGUCGUCAGCUCGUGUCGUGAGAUGUUGGGUUAAGUCCCGUAACGAGCGCAACCCUUGUCCUUAGUUACCAGCACCUCGGGUGGGCACUCUAAGGAGACUGCCGGUGACAAACCGGAGGAAGGUGGGGAUGACGUCAAGUCAUCAUGGCCCUUACGGCCAGGGCUACACACGUGCUACAAUGGUCGGUACAAAGGGUUGCCAAGCCGCGAGGUGGAGCUAAUCCCAUAAAACCGAUCGUAGUCCGGAUCGCAGUCUGCAACUCGACUGCGUGAAGUCGGAAUCGCUAGUAAUCGUGAAUCAGAAUGUCACGGUGAAUACGUUCCCGGGCCUCGUACACACCGCCCGUCACACCAUGGGAGUGGGUUGCUCCAGAAGUAGCUAGUCUAACCGCAAGGGGGACGGUUACCACGGAGUGAUUCAUGACUGGGGUGAAGUCGUAACAAGGUA
rnacentral:rRNA from 1 species